rnacentral:lncRNA from 1 species
CCGAGGGAGAUGAUGGAUGCCGCUUCUUGCCACUCCCCGGGGGCACCACAGAGAGCGGGGAGCCUGCAGAGAGCAGGGACAGCGGCCUUCAACGCACUGUUUCCGGGCAAUGUCACUAAUGCCAAAGUCAUGCCUCCCACUGGACACUCCUGGGCUCCCAUCCUUCCUACCAAGAAACUUUCUCUGUGAAACCCACGAAACAGCUAGAAAUGGAGCCCAAAAGAUAGCCAGGAUAAUAGACGACAGAGAGGAUCAAGGCCCAGCAGGACCUGGCGACUCUAACGCUCUGGCACUAGGGUGUCUAGAAUGGGAAGCCCCCAAGGGGCUGGCGUGGGAUGGGGGUGUGAUGCAGGCCGCCCACCAGGUUCCCUCCGGGCAAAGCGGCAGGGCCCCCCGCUUCCUGAGCCUUCACGGAGGUCUAGUGGUCCCUCUGCCUGAAAACCUGUCUGUUAGUCAGGAGGAGUUCGGAGCAUAUAAUUUUGGGGAGCCAUUUUCUUCUAGGGAGUUCACUUUCCUGUGCGGGGCGGCGGAGGAAGACAACACAUAACUGAACGACAGAUGAAGAUAAAUUAUAAAAGAAAAUUGUUUAAGUGUUUAAUCAGACAAUGAAGAGAAACCCAAAACAAUGAAACCUUUUCAAGGAAGUAAGGUGUUGACAUGACUGGAUUAAGAAAUACCUACAAAACUGGCAAAACAGUACUUCUGGAUGUGUCUGUGAGGGUGUUUCAAGGAGACUGAUGUGUGAGUUGCUGCACUGAGUUGGGAAGAUGUUCCUCAAUGUGGGCAGCCACCAUUCAAUUGGCUGGGGGCCCAGAGAGAACAAAAAAGGAAGGAAAAGGAUUUCCCCUCUCUCUCCUGGAACUGGGACACUCUCCUCUUCCUGCCCCCUGGUUCUCAUGACUUCAGCCUCAGACAGAGACUUACAUAAUUGGUUUCCCUGUUUCUAAGGUCUCUGGACUUGACUUGGACUGGGCCAUGCUACCGGCAUCUCAGAGUUGCCAGCUUGUAGACAGCUUGUUGUGGGACUUCUCAACCUCUGUAAUCAAGUGAGCUAAUUCCCCUAAUAAACCCCCUCUCAUAUGUCUAUAUCUAUCGAUAGCUCCUAUUGAUCUGUCUCUCUGUAGAACCCUGAC